rnacentral:rRNA from 1 species
UACGUAGGUGGCAAGCGUUGUCCGGAAUUACUGGGUGUAAAGGGAGCGUAGGCGGGAAGCCAAGUUGGGUGUGAAAUACCGCAGCUUAACUGCGGGGCUGCACCCAAAACUGGUUUUCUUGAGUGAUGUAGAGGCAGGCGGAAUUCCUAGUGUAGCGGUGAAAUGCGCAGAUAUCGGGAGGAACACCGGUGGCGAAGGCGGUUCUCUGGGCCUGUACUGACGCUGAGGAGCGAAAGCGUGGGGAGCGAACAGG